UUCCAUUUAAUAUCCGUUCCCCCGCUGUCGAGGAUCCGUGGAAUUCUUCAGGGGUAAAGGGUUUUGAGCUUGGAAUUCUUCAGGAGUAAAGUGUUUUGAGCUUGGAAUUCUUCAGGCUAAAUGUGUUUUUAGUUUGGAAUUCUUCAGGGGUAAAUGGUUUUGAGCUUGGAAUUCUUCAGGGGUAAAGGGUUUUGAGCUUGGAAUUCUUCAGGGGUAAAGAGGUUUGAGAUUGAAAUUUUUCAGAGCUUGGAAUUCUUCACGGGUGAAGGGUUUUGAGCUUGGAAUUCUUCAGGGGUAAAAGGUUUUGAGCUUGAAAUUCUUCAGGGAUAAAGGGUUUUGAGCUUGGAAUUCUUUAGGGGUGAAGGGUUUUGAGCUUGGAAUUCUUCAGGGGUAAAGUGUUUUGAGCUUGGAAUUCUUCAGGGGUAAAGUGUUUUGAGUUUGGAAUUCUUCUGGGGUAAAUGGUUUUGAGCUUGGAAUUCUUCAGGGGUAAAGGGUUUUGAGCUUGGAAUUCUUUAGGGGUAAAGAGGUUUGAGAUUGAAAUUUUUCAGAGCUUGGAAUUCUUCAGGGGUGAAGGGUUUUGAGCUUGAAAUUCUUCAGGGGUAAAAGGUUUUGAGCUUGAAAUUCUUCAGGGGUAAAGGGUUUUGAGCUUGGAAUUCUUUAGGGGUGAAGGGUUUUGAGCUUGGAAUUCUUCAGGGGUAAAAGAUUUUGAGCUUGGAAUUCUUCAGGGGUAAAAGGUUUUCAGCUUGGAAUUCUUCAGGGGUAAAGAGUUUUGAGCUUGGAAUUUUGGAAUUCUUCAGGGGUAAACAGUUUUGAGCUUGGAAUUCUUCAGGGGUAUGACAAUGAAAAACAUGUAUCCUCGACAGGGGGGUACGGAUAUUAAAUGGAAUAGCCCAUUUCUGGCAAUUUCGCUAAAUUUUCACCAAAUUGUAUUGUGUUUUUCAUGUUGUGUUGUACUCUGG